CCUACGGGUGGCAGCAGUAGGGAAUAUUGCUCAAUGGGGGAACCCUGAAGCAACCACGCCGCGUGGAGGGUGAAGGGUUUUGGGUUGUAAACUCCUUUUGUUUGAGAAGAUAAUGACGGUAUCUAACGAAUAAGCACCGGCUUACUCCGUGCCCGCCGCCGCGGUAAUUCGGAGGGGGCAAGUGUUACUCGGAAUCACUGGGCGUAAAGAGCGCGUAGGCGGGAUAGCAAGUCAGAUGUGAAAACCUAUGGCUUAACCAGAGAACUGCAUUUGAAACUGUUAUUCUAGAGUAUGGGAGAGGGAGGUGGAAUUCUUGGUGUAGGGGUAAAAUCCGUAGAGAGCAAGAGGAAUACUCAUUGCGAAGGCGACCUGCUAGAACAUAACUGACGCUGAUGCGCGAAAGCGUGGGGAGCAAACAGGAUGAGAUACCCUGGUAGUC
rnacentral:rRNA from 1 species